CAGUUAUCCACGAAUUAUCAGCGAUCUAAUUAACGAAUCAUUAGCGAUCCUAUUUUUAAGACUUAUACACUGUUUUAUCGAAUCGAAGUUAAGGAGAAAUUCAUCGCUACUGUUGAUCCUCGUAUAUACGAUCCUUCAUUUGAAAGAGCUUGCUUGAUAUAAAAUUCAAGUAUUGUACCUGUAUUAUAUUUGAAUUAUCUAAGCCGUGUCUGUGGAUUCUUCGAGUCAUUCAAAUAUAGAGAACGCAAGAAAGGAAAACAUCGUGAAGACGUUCAAGAAGUAGAAUAAGACGGUCUAACGCGGGCAAAAAGAAAAUGGAAGAUCAACGUUUUCUAUCAACGAUGAAGAAUCGAAAAAGGAGGAAAAAUGUAUUGAAAAGAGUGGAGCGAAAAGUGGAAGAAAGUUUCCUAUCGACGAUAAAGGAUUUAAAUAAAAAAGCCAAAGACAUAAAUGUAUAUUAGAACGAGUGUAUAAAAUUUGGAUCGAGGAGGGAGGAGGAAGUGACGAGGUGGAGGAGAAGCGCAUCAGAAGAGAGAGGAGAGACAGGUAGCGCGUGGCAGCAGGCCUCUCCCCCUGUCGACCCUCUCCUCCUCUGGUAACUAAUGCCUCGAUCCGUGCAACCACCUCCGCCAGUCGAGGCCUUAACUACUUUCUUAUUCGCUCGUUUCAGGCCAGCCUUACGGGCCCGUGCAUAAUGCCACAGCGCUCCUUACGCAUGCUGAACGACGAACACGCUCCUUCCUCCGCUUCUCCUCCCGCGCCAUCUUUCCCCAUCGUCCUUCUCCUCCACCUCUUCAUCGCGAUGCUCGUCCACCUCCGCCUCCCCGGAACACUGUACCUCAGAGAGGAACUGCGGGUCAGAGACUGCGAGGCAUAUUCGACGCAGACUCGUGGCUCGUGCCUAGAUCCAUUGGCGUCUGACUCUACUGAAUUCUGCUCACCGGAAUAUUCUACUUUGGAAAGACAGCUUAUUACAUUUAUAUUAACGAAACAUUGGAUUCUGGGAAUUUUUAAAUAUUUAAUAAUAAUGCUUUUACAUAACUAACUCGAGCUGUUAUAUAAAAAUAGUUUUAUGUAAAGAUACUUGAAUUGUUAUUGGUAUUAGGUUAUUAGAAGCAAUAAAUAUUAGACGUUUUUACGUAAAUAUGUUUCCGUACGACAGCUCAACUUAGUUAUCUAAUCUAGAAGUAGAAUAGACUAUCCUACCGGAUAAAGUAGGAUAUGUCAAAUAGAAUUCUGUAGAAUUAGACGCUAUUAGACUGUAACGUAUAAAAUGUCUGACUACGAUCUAACGUUAACGAGAUUUGAUCGAGUUGAUUAGUUUGGUUUCUAAAAGGGUUCUAUAUACACCUAAUUCAUUGAUAUACUAUUUCGCAAAGAAUAUCCCAUAUGAACGAAUAUUAUAAAUUAUCGCGCCGGAAUUAUAAAGACGUCCUAAAGAAUAUCAGACACGUAUACGAGUAAAUAUAUAAUAAAAUAUUACCCAUCUACUAUCAACACAGAACCUUAAUUAAAGACUCACAGCUUCGUAGAAAACAUUCAACCAUUUCCAACUAUCCCCAGAAAAUGAAAAAUCUUCGAUCUUGCACAACUAAACUAAAGAAGAGAGGAGCAAGAACUAUUUCAAAAACUAUAGAGAAGAAGAAUGAGAAAGAACUUGGUGAACUGGAUGGAAGAAGAUGAUUCGAGGA